GGAGAUCAAAGCGACAAAAGCGUUAUACCUGGAAGUGCUCUGAAAACAUCGACAUCAAAUGAGAAGCGGGAAGACGUCUGAGAGUGUUUCUAGAGAGAAGUCGAGGCUUUUUGAAUGGGAGUCAGCUGGAGCAGCUAACAGCCAUCGGUGGCACUUAAAGGCACUUCAACCUCAACACGUGGGAGCUGCUGCUCGACACGUUCUCUGGUUUUGGGGCUGAAAGGAGGAAGACGUCUCCUGCGGGGCCCCUGAAGCAGCUGGAUGAACAGAGAGCGAGAGAGAGGGAGAUGUAGUGGAGAGGAGGAUCAAAGCUGCUCGGUCACUACCGCGACGGGCGAGGAUGAAACCAACAUGGAGAGUUUUACCUCUUCAGGACUCAAAUGAAACAAUCUGAGACAGGAACCUGUAACGAGGGGUCAUGAGUACCUUCAUACUGGCAACCAGUGCUCUUCAAAUUUGAUGUCAAUAGUUUCUAUUUGUCCCAUUCCCUUCUGUUUCCAAUAAAAAUCUAUUUUCAUUGGUUUUAUUUGGUUUACUUGUAUGUCUGCUGGUCCUAGAAAAUAUCUGAACAGGUUGAAAUUAUCUCACGGCACUGGUUUUAAGAAAAUAAGUCUUUUUAAGCUAAGAAGACAAUAAUUAGUUGAUAAAUAGACAUUUUAGCAGCAAGAGACAGAAGUUUUCACAUGACAACAGCAACAUGGAGGUUCGUACAGGACAUGAUGUGUGUUUAUUGGUGACUGUGAGAUGUUAAACUAUAAACCAUGUUCUUCACCCGUUGAGACUUUUAACACCGUUCUGCAUGUGUAAGAAACAAGUUCC